GGUAGCGUGGCCGAGCGGUGUAAGGCGCAGAUUUAAGCUCUGGAGGCGUGGGUUCGAAUUACACCGCUGCCA
rnacentral:tRNA from 1 species